CCUACGGGUGGCAGCAGUCGAGAAUCAUUCACAAUGGGGGAAACCCUGAUGGUGCGACGCCGCGUGGGGGAAUGAAGGUCUUCGGAUUGUAAACCCCUGUCAUGUGGGAGCAAAUUAAAAAGAUAGUACCACAAGAGGAAGAGACGGCUAACUCUGUGCCAGCAGCCGCGGUAAUACAGAGGUCUCAAGCGUUGUUCGGAAUCACUGGGCGUAAAGCGUGCGUAGGCUGUUUCGUAAGUCGUGUGUGAAAGGCGCGGGCUCAACCCGCGGACGGCACAUGAUACUGCGAGACUAGAGUAAGGGAGGGGGAACCGGAAUUCUCGGUGUAGCAGUGAAAUGCGUAGAUAUUGAGAGGAACACUCGUGGCGAAGGCGGGUUCCUGGACAUUAACUGACGCUGAGGCACGAAGGCCAGGGGAGCGAAAGGGAUUAGAUACCCCGGUAGUC
rnacentral:rRNA from 1 species